AAAUUAGUUGAUGAACAUGUUUAUGAAUUUGAUUGUGUUCUUUAUGUCAAAUGAUGAUCACUUGGUCCUUUGCGAAAUGCAUCAUUUUGAAGUGCAAGUUUUUGAAUAUGUUAAUGUCAAAUAAAUGGAUAUUCCAUUUUAUGCGUUAUUGUGAAUUCAUAAUUAAUUGAUUUGGUCGUUAAUGGUAUGUGACCAGAAGAAAGAGUUAUAAAGAGCAAAUUAAAGUUCUUUCGUUAUUCACCAAUAGGAGGUCUAGCAUGGUUGUAGUUGCAUCUUUCAGCUUGGGCUAGGUUCCAAAUUCGAGUCUCUCCUCCCCUACUUUGUU
rnacentral:misc_RNA from 1 species